UGGAAAAUGCUAACCUAUGCGAUGGACACU
rnacentral:piRNA from 1 species